UUAAACCGUUGGAAGCAUCCACACCCGAAAGUCCCCAGCCUCUCUCUCCAAAGUAUCUGUUCACUUCUGUUACCUCUGCCAAAACCCAGUUUCCCCUAAAACUCCAAUCAUGUCAAUCUCUUCUUCCUUUCGAUUGUUAUCCCCCAAAAUCCCACUCUUUCUCCAACCGAAAUUCCCAAUUUUGAAAAACAUAAGAGUCCAAUCACUAGAGUUCCCCACCAAUCUAUCUCUUUAUUCAUCAAUCUCAAUCCAAAAACUACCCUCAAAACUUUCAUCAUCACCAUCUUCAAAUAAUUCCACUUCUCUUCAAGCCAUUGAAGAACUUCCACAAAACCUCCUAGACAUCAUAAAACUUUUCCAAACAGUAGAAGAACCAAAGAAAAAGUAUGAACAGCUCUUAUUCUAUGGAAAAAAACUUACACCAUUAGAUGCAAGAUACAAAAUAGAAGAAAAUAAAGUUAAAGGUUGUGUUUCACAAGUAUGGGUUAGAGCUUACUUGGAUUCAGAGGAAGAGAACGUAUUAUUUGAAGCUGAUUCUGAUUCAGUUCUUACUAAAGGUCUUGCUGCUUUGCUUAUUCAAGGUCUUUCUGGUUUACCAGUUUCUCAGAUUUUGAAAGUUUCUCCUGAUUUUGUUACCUUGCUUGGUCUUAACCAAAGUCUUACUCCUUCUAGGAACAAUGGCUUCUUGAAUAUGUUGAUAUUAAUGCAGAAUAAGGCUUUACAGUUAUACAUAGAAUCUCAAAAACAAGAGAGUAGCAGUUCUGUAAAUAGUGCUGAAUUGGGUAGUGAAAAUCAGAUAGAGACCACUGAAAUUGAGGUUGAGGAGUCGAAGACUGAAGAAGUGGGAAGCCAAGAUGAGGCGAACGGGAGUCUCGGUUUGAAGAGUAGAAGAGAACGAAUAAAGGAGAAAUUGGAAAAAGAACUUGCUGCUGUUGAAUUGGAGAUUGAAGAUAUUUCUUAUCAGCAUGCUGGUCAUGCUGGUGUUAGAGGGAAUAGUAAUGGUGAGACACAUUUUAAUGUUAGAGUUGUAUCUAAGGAGUUUGAUGGGAAGAGUUUGGUGAAACGGCAUCGACUUAUUUAUGAUCUUUUGCAAGAGGAAUUGGACAGUGGAUUGCACGCAUUGUCAAUUGUUGCCAAAGCACCAGCUGAGGUUAAUGGCAAAUGAAUUGGGAAAACGCAGAAAAGCUCCAUGGAUAAAUUCAGAGGCAAGUAAACCUCACUUGAUAUCAUGUGAAUCGCCUCCUGUCUCGCUUGUCCUUUUCUUUGGGUGAAAGGUUUCAGAGAUCGCAAGAAGCAUGUCAUGGAAAUACAGCUCUAUGUCCAAGUGUUCAAGUGCUUUUUUCUUGUAUCUACCGCUCAUUGUGUGAGAAGGUUAAUGUCUUCCACCAGCUUCAUGUUGCACUACCUCUUUAUAAGUGGAUUUCCUUUAAUAAACAUGGAGUUAUAAUGCAUUUGCUUCUUUCCCUUUUCUGUACCAUUAUACCCUAGAUCUCAUAUUUAUAUGCUGAUGUACGCUUGGCAAGGCGGAUAAGACAGGAUACAGUAGAAAAAGGUAGAGAGAUUGGACAAGUACUUGAUCAGUACCCAAAAUUUGUGAAGCUUGCUUUUGAGGCCUUUAUACUUCCAACAAAGAAAUAUGUCCCCAUGGAGGAGAUAAUCAUGUUGCGAUUGAUCUGAUUGUUCAACAUAUUCGUACAAAACUCAGUCAACGCGAUCUAUGUAAAAUAUCCCCGAAUCUUUACGUCAUCCAUUCAACUUUUCAGGUUCACCUACUUUUUAUUAUUCUAGUUAUCUAAUAUUUAGUACCGGCGGUUGCUUUUCUUAACUAGAAUCCCAUUUAUAGGUUCUACAUGAAUCUAGAAGAACACUGCUAUUAUUUUUCUCUUUUUACUCUUGUCAGGCGUGGCCACUGAAUUUAGUGUUCAUUUUUCUGAACGAGAGAUUUUUAUUAUCCCCUGAAAGGAACGAUUCUGAUAAAAUAAUAUUGGUGUUCAUUCUAUUGAGCGUCGAACAUUGUCUUCGUUCUGAAAUUAGUUUUGAUACUUCGAGUGGAAGUUUUUGUGUUUGCGGUAUCAAGAGUAUAAUUUGGUUGUCCUGAUCUGUUGUAUCUUCAUAUUUCUGAGUCCCAGUCUA